CCUACGGGGGACAGCAGUGAGGAAUAUUGGUCAAUGGACGAGAGUCUGAACCAGCCAAGUAGCGUGAAGGAUGACUGCCCUAUGGGUUGUAAACUUCUUUUAUAUGGGAAUAAAAUGUUCGACGCGUUGGAUUUUGUAUGUACCAUACGAAUAAGGAUCGGCUAACUCCGUGCCAGCAGCCGCGGGAAUACGGAGGAUUCGAGCGUUAUCCGGAUUUAUUGGGUUUAAAGGGAGCGUAGGUGGAUUGUUAAGUCAGUUGUGAAAGUUUGCGGCUCAACCGUAAAAUUGCAGUUGAAACUGGCAGUCUUGAGUACAGUAGAGGUGGGCGGAAUUCGUGGUGUAGCGGUGAAAUGCUUAGAUAUCACGAAGAACUCCGAUUGCGAAGGCAGUUCACUGGACUGCAACUGACACUGAGGCUCGAAAGUGUGGGUAUCAAACAGGAUUAGAUACCCCUGUAGUC
rnacentral:rRNA from 1 species